rnacentral:rRNA from 1 species
GACGAACGCUGGCGGCGUGCUUAACACAUGCAAGUCGAACGGAAAGGCCCUGCUUUUGUGGGGUGCUCGAGUGGCGAACGGGUGAGUAACACGUGAGUAACCUGCCCUUGACUUUGGGAUAACUUCAGGAAACUGGGGCUAAUACCGGAUAGGAGCUCCUGCUGCAUGGUGGGGGUUGGAAAGUUUCGGCGGUUGGGGCUGGACUCGCGGCUUAUCAGCUUGUUGGUGGGGUAGUGGCUUACCAAGGCUUUGACGGGUAGCCGGCCUGGGAGGGUGACCGGCCACAUGGGGCCUGCGAUACGGCCCAGACGCCUACGGGAGGCAGCAGUGGGGAAUAUUGCACAAUGGGCGGAAGCCUGAUGCAGCAACGCCGCGUGCGGGAUGACGGCCUUCGGGUUGUAAACCGCUUUCGCCUGUGACGAAGCGUGAGUGACGGUAAUGGGUAAAGAAGCAACGGCUAACUACGUG